CGCUCCCUGCAAGGAUCGAACUUGCGACCUUGCGGUUAACAGCCGCACGCUCUAACCAGCUGAGCUAAGGAAGC
rnacentral:tRNA from 1 species